AUUGAACGCUGGCGGCAUGCUUUACACAUGCAAGUCGAACGGCAGCGGGGAGGAGCCUGCUUCUCUGCCGGCGAGUGGCGAACGGGUGAGUAAUACAUCGGAACGUGUCGAGAAGAGGGGGAUAACCACCCGAAAGGGUGGCUAAUACCGCAUAAAUUCUGAGGAAGAAAGCUGGGGACCUAGGAAUAGGCCUAGCGCUUUUUGAGCGGCCGAUGUCGGAUUAGCUAGUUGGUGAGGUAAAGGCUCACCAAGGCGAAGAUCUGUAGAGGGUCUGAGAGGAUGAUCCGCCACACUGGGACUGAGACACGGCCCAGACUCCUACGGGAGGCAGCAGUGGGGAAUUUUGGACAAUGGGGGCAACCCUGAUCCAGCCAUGCCGCGUGUAUGAAGAAGGCCUUAGGGUUGUAAAGUACUUUUGUUAGGGAAGAAAAGUCAGCUGUGAAUAAUGGCUGAUACUGACGGUACCUAAAGAAUAAGCACCGGCUAACUACGUG
rnacentral:rRNA from 1 species